UUUUUUUAGUUGUAGAAGCAUUUUUCCAAGUGACGGAACUGAGCACUCUUUAGGAGUUGACCUUUGUCCAAAGAACUUCCUUUAGAGUUUGAGGUGACCAUAAUGAAAACCAAAUGGGAGGUCAUUGUCUGGAAGUUUUCAAGGAUUUAGAGGUGAAAGAACUAAUAGGAGAAGACUGGAAGCAGCUGUGUUCGACUGAGAUGUUAUUAACGUCUUAAACAUUGUCAAAAUCAUAGAAAGCCUUUUUGUCAAGCUGCAAGGAAGCAACUGCCUGUCUGCAACCGCUGAAAUCACCCCCUCUUCCUCAAUAUGCUUCUUGACUGGAAUUUGGACUGUGAAGGGAAGCUUGAGAUAAGACUAUUGUCUAAUCAUCUCAGGUCUGAGGAGAAGUAAACAAGGCUCAGGGAAUCUGCCCUAGCUGAGCUCAGUGGGUGGCAGAGGAGAACGGUUUGGGGAGCGUGAUGGCAAAAUCUCUCCACACGAAACAGAGUAAACCGCACCCCCCCAGGAUGACCACGUACACAUGGGGCAUUCACAUGAGAGGCAGCUGAGAAGGGGUCAUAAACAAUCAAAGACCCCCAAGGUAUCCCUCUCACUACCAAGAAGACCAGAAAAAUGGGACCUAUGGGAUGCUGCCCGAUUACAUGGAGUGGUGAUACAUUUUCUAUUUUUCUCUCUCUCACUCUCUUCUUCCCCUCGCCACCCUUUUUCUAUUUCUUUCUAUC